rnacentral:rRNA from 1 species
UACGUAGGGUGCAAGCGUUGUCCGGAAUUAUUGGGCGUAAAGAGCUCGUAGGCGGUUUGUCGCGUCUGCUGUGAAAACCCGAGGCUCAACCUCGGGCCUGCAGUGGGUACGGGCAGACUAGAGUGCGGUAGGGGAGAUUGGAAUUCCUGGUGUAGCGGUGGAAUGCGCAGAUAUCAGGAGGAACACCGAUGGCGAAGGCAGCC